UUCAUACAAUGGGUCUUUUGG
ensembl:piRNA 21ur-3459 ncRNA